rnacentral:rRNA from 1 species
UACGUAGGGGGCAAGCGUUGUCCGGAAUCAUUGGGCGUAAAGAGCGUGUAGGCGGCCCGAUAAGUCCGCUGUGAAAGUCCAGGGCUCAACCCUGGGAUGCCGGUGGAUACUGUCGGGCUCGAGUCCGGAAGAGGAGUGUGGAAUUCCCAGUGUAGAGGUGAAAUUCGUAGAUAUUGGGAAGAACACCGGUGGCGAAGGCGGCUCUCUGGACCGAGACUGACGCUGAGGCGCGAAAGCGUGGGGAGCAAACAGG